rnacentral:rRNA from 1 species
UAGGGAAUAUUGGUAAUCUGGGAAACCGGGAACCAGCAACGCCGCGUGCGCGAUGAAGGCCUUCGGGUUGUAAAGCACUUUUUGAGGGGAUGAGGAAGGACAGUACCCUCAGAAUAAGCCUCGGCUAACUACGUGCCAGCAGCCGCGGUAACACGUAGGAGGCAAGCGUUAUUCGGAUUUACUGGGCGUAAAGCGCGUGCAGGCGGUUCGGUAAGUUGGAUGUGAAAGCUCCCGGCUUAACUGGGAGAGGUCGUUCAAUACUACCGAACUAGAGGAUGAGAGAGGGAGGUGGAAUUCCGAGUGUAGUGGUGGAAUGCGUAGAUAUUCGGAGGAACACCAGUGGCGAAAGCGGCCUCCUGGCUCAUAACUGACGCUCAGACGCGAAAGCUAGGGUAGCAAACA